GAAUUCCUUACAGCAAUCAAAAGUUUAUCUUGAGAGGCCCACUGGUCUUUCUGGGAAAAAUUGGAUUCUG
rfam:Dictyostelium purpureum unplaced genomic scaffold DICPTscaffold_185, whole genome shotgun sequence.